UACGAGGGGUGCUAGCGUUGUCCGGAAUUACUGGGCGUAAAGGGUUCGUAGGCGUCUUGCCAAGUUGAUCGUUAAAGCCACCGGCUUAACCGGUGAUCUGCGAUCAAAACUGGCGAGAUAGAAUAUGUGAGGGGAAUGUGGAAUUCCUGGUGUAGCGGUGACAUGCGUAGAUAUCAGGAGGAACACCAAUGGCGAAGGCA
rnacentral:rRNA from 1 species